GUUUGAUCAUGGCUCAGAAUGAACGCUGGCGGCGUGCCUAACACAUGCAAGUCGGAUGUGCCGCAAGGUGCAUGGCAGACGGGUGAGUAACGCGUAGGGAACCUACCUCUUUGUGGGGAAUAACGUUCCGAAAGGAAUGGUAAUACCGCAUGAGACCGAUGGCUGGGAUGCUGUCGGUGAAACCCGGGGACCGCAAGGCCUGGGGCAAGGAGAGGGUCCUGCGUCUGAUUAGCUAGUUGGCGGGGUAACGGCCCACCAAGGCGUCGAUCAGUAGCCGGCCUGAGAGGGUGAUCGGCCACACUGGAACUGAGACACGGUCCAGACUCCUACGGGAGGCAGCAGUGGGGAAUUUUGCGCAAUGGGCGAAAGCCUGACGCAGCAACGCCGCGUGGGUGAUGAAGGUCUUCGGAUCGUAAAACCCUGUCGUCAGGGACGAAGGUUGUAUGUCUAAUAGAUGUGCAACUUGACGGUACCUGGAGAGGAAGCCCCGGCUAACUCUGUGCCAGCAGCCGCGGUAAUACAGAGGGGGCAAGCGUUAUUCGGAAUUAUUGGGCGUAAAGGGCGCGUAGGCGGUGGUUUAAGUGAGAUGUGUAAUCCCCGAGCUUAACUUGGGAACUGCAUCUCAGACUGGAUCGCUAGAGUGCUGGAGAGGGUGGUAGAAUUCCACGUGUAGCGGUGAAAUGCGUAGAGAUGUGGAGGAAUACCAGUGGCGAAGGCGGCCACCUGGACAGUAACUGACGCUGAGGCGCGAAAGUGUGGGGAGCAAACAGGAUUAGAUACCCUGGUAGUCCACGCUGUAAACGAUGAACACUUGGUGUGGUGGGAGUUGACCCCCGCCGUGCCGUAGCUAACGCGAUAAGUGUUCCGCCUGGGGAGUACG
rnacentral:rRNA from 1 species